UGAUAAGAUAAUGUUCUUACGAAAAGCUUUUAGCUGAACAAUCUACGAAUGUAAUUUUAUAUGUUUCAAAUUAUUUGAUAACAUUCAAGAACCAUAUUGCAUAAAUAUUUUCAUUAUGAUAAAUUUAUAAUGUAAUGUUUAUGUAAUAUACAAUACAAAAAGAAGUUGAUAUGUUGUCGGAAAAGUAGUAAAAGACAUUUUCAAGAAUAUUUACUUACAGCCGACAUUUUAUCGUAUUUACAGGGUUGUAUUAAUCUGUUGUUCUAUUCGAUAUAUAUUUUAUAUGUUCACGCACGAUGUCCGACUUUAUAUAAACGAAAAAAAUUGAGAGAUGCUAAAACAGUAUUGCUUUAUUUGAAUGCGCGCGGAUAAAUUAUAUUUGGGUUACGGAAGAGGGCAAUUUUCUUAUUAUACAGUUGGCGAAACUGAAACGUAGUUUACCUAGAUGGUAGGAGAAGGAACGCAUGCGUACUCGUUUCGCGACGCAACAGUCGUAAACAACAUUUUUUCCAUUCAGAUUUCUAACGAGUUUACGCUUGCACGAUAAUUAGAGCGUCCAGGCGGGCGCACCAGGAUUUUUCCGCGUUUUCGUACGAUUUCGCGGAAAAAAUGGGGUCAAGCUUGCACGUUCAGUGUACGUGAUACGUAAACUUAUUGCUUUUUGGCAUGCGGUGACGUCAUCCGGAUCGUUCUGGAAGAACCCUGCAGGACAAUAAUGGCGGAUUUGUAUGCUAAAUACAACUGCACCUAUUGUCAAGAGGAUAUCUCGGGCCUACGUGUCAGAUGUGUAGAAUGCCCAGAUUUCGACCUCUGUUUGCAGUGUUUUUCCGCUGGAGCUGAAAUUGGCCCACAUAAAAAUGAUCACUCUUAUCAGUUUAUGGAUUCUGGCACCAUUAGUAUAUUUAAUGGUAGAGGAAAUUGGACUGCUAGGGAACAACUUAGACUCUUGGAUGCCAUUGAGCAAUUUGGUUUUGGAAAUUGGGAAGACAUUAGCAAACAUAUUGAAACACGUUCACCAGAAGAAGCAAAAGAAGAAUAUAUUGCUAGAUACCUUGAUGGCAAUAUUGGAAAACACACAUGGCCUCCUACAGAAAGCUAUAAACCAAAUCUUACAGAUCAAACUAAGUCAGAUCAUGGACCUCUAUCGCCUGAUCUCACAUCUCGGUUACCACCUUUGGAUAUCACUCCAGAAGAAGCUGCACAACUGGGAUAUAUGCCACAACGAGAUGAUUUUGAAAGGGACUACAACCAUGAAGCAGAGUCACUUGUUUCUUCAUUAUUCUUGAACCCUGCAGAAGAUGAUGAUUUGGACAUAGCACUUAAACUUGCACAAGUUGAUAUGUAUACCAAUAAUUUAAGAGAGAGAGCGCGACGAAAAAGAGUCGUACGGGAUUACCAGCUUGUUUCUGCAUUUUUUGCUUCGUCUAGGAAAGAUAAGACAGUGAAAAGAAAACAAUCGAAGGAGGAAAAGGAGUUUAGGGAUAGGAUGCGAGUAUUUGCACAGUUUUACACAGCACAGGAAUACGAACAGUUUCUAACAAAUCUUGAAAGAGAAAGAGAACUACGAUUACGUCUUUCAGAAUUGUAUCGUUACCGAGAGCAUGGUAUUACAAGACACGAAGAAUGCGCUCAUUUCGAGCAAGUGAUGGCACAAACUCAGGGACAAAAUGACGCAGUGGAUCACUGGCAUGAAAAAAAAUCUGCAUUUGUGAACAGAUUGUAUCAGUUUGCAUUUCACUUAGGGCAGCAGUGGGCCGUCCACACCAAUACACCGCCACACCUCAAAAAAAAGAGAAGAAGAAAAAAAUUACUCUUCCACCGACCGAAAGUACAUUGCAAAAGACUUACCCAGCAGCAGCUUCUCAAUCAAUCAAACCAAUCCCAAUCGGAUGACGACUCCAGCCAAUCAGUGGGUGGAGCCGGAUAACAAUCCAAAUUGUUCCAGCCAGCAUUCUACCAGCUCCAGUUCUGCCACAGAAAAAAAUUAUACUGCGGCUGCUUCCGGAAAAUCUUGUGCAACAACACGAGACUCAGAGGAACGGGAUAUAGAAAUGGAAGCAGCGGCUCAUUUAUUAACAAAACAAGAAAAGUCUCUGUGUCUUCAACUUGAUUUGAAGCCAACGCAGUAUUUAACACAAAAGACGUUGUUGUUGCAAGAAUAUCUAAAUGGUAAUAGAAGAUCAGGUGUUGUACCUCAGUCGGAACCAGAGAGUAAGAUAUUACAUUAUCUGGUAGCAAAUGGCUGGAUCGCGGCCAACUGAUUAAAUAUGUAAAAAAUUAACGACCAUUUCAACUCUAAGUCACCUUUUAUUUUGCAAACUAAGUCCUAGGUAUAAUUGAAAUUUGAGUCUGAUUUAAUUAACAUAUAUAGGACAGGUAGAGAGAGAAUGUGUGUGUACAUAAUUUAAUAUGUAAAGAUAUUCUUUACUCUUGUUCAAAUGGUGGACGUUUAGAGAAAUGUAUUGGCGGAUGAAUUGUUAGGAACGAUAGAAAACAAGAUUAAUUAACUUGUCUUAUUCGUUAGUGAGACAUUAAUUUAGACUGUCUUUAAAAUGACUCCAUUAAAAAGUAUAAAAUUCUUUUAUUAAGAGUUUUAUAGUUUUUGUUAAAUUAACAGUUAUCGUAUAUAACGAUUUAACUGUCAAUUUUAUUGUUGAUAUUCUUGAUGGCUUUUUAAAGACUCAAAUAUUAAAUCAACGCCGUUCCGCAUGGUAUACUUCCACUAACGUGUGUACUUUAUUCUAAUGAACAUUGUUACCUUAGAUUGUCGUUUACCUUUUAACAUUACAUUAUGAAUUAUUUAACACUUCUUGUCUAGAAAAUCUCUUACACUGCCUUUAUAGAGCCAUGAACAUAUUGCUCAAUUAAUUCUUCCACUGUCAUGUUUUCUUGUACAGACUAUUAAUUGCACAUGCUCCUUUCUAUCUGUUUUAAAUGUGAUUUGUUACCAUACUUGACAAUAAGGAAAUGUAAGGAAGAAGUCACGUCGUAGUUGAGAUUUCUAGAUCGUUGUUUAAUACAACACUUGAAUGAUUGGAACAUAUCCAUCCGGGAAUUUAUCAUCGACCGAUACUUUAUGUACAAGUAUUUAAAAGUUUUCGGCUGGAUAUGUAUUAAAAUAUUUAAAUAAAAAGCACUUUAAAAUAUUUAUAUAGCUGAGAUUCAUGAAAGUAUUGAAUAUUAUUAGCUUAAUAAUAAGUGUAAUGUCCUUGACAAAUUAUACACACAUAGAUAAACAUACACAUACAGAUAUUUCUUCAUAUUCUUACAAAUUUGUUCAUUAAAAAAAAUACUCUAAUUGUCUUUCGCAUGCAUGAUUCAAGCGCAAACUAAUGCAUUUUAUUCCAUAGAUUCUUGAAACGAUUCAAAGGAUAUUCCUUAUUGAUAAAGGAUGGUACAAAGAGCAGGUUAUAAGAGGAUAUUUGUUAUUACAAUGAAGAUACUAUGGUAUUAGAUAAUUUAUCUGUUGCCUGUGUAAUAUUUGUAUAUAUGAACGAGAAAUAGUACCUUCUUAGUGAUACUACUUUUAAAGCACAAAACGUAAUCGCGGUAUAAACUAACGAAGAGUUAAGUGCAUAGUGUGAUAAUGAUGGUGUUCGGAGCCAAACUCGUAUUACAAAAAAAGACACUUUAACGUUUAAAAAAAAAGCUAAUCAUUUUCCAUUGCUUCUAAUAGUAGCUAUUUAUAAUUUUAAAUUAUUAAAUGAAGAAAGGAGGAGUAAGAUAUUAAAUUUGAGAAUGAGAAGAAGAUAUACCCUGGAUGGACGAUAUACCGUGUUAACAACAGCUUUUGUUGAGCUUAAACGUACAAGGUGGAAGCAUCGAGGAACCACGCUAUUUGCUCGAUGGCAAAGUUCAUACCAUUUGUAUUCCUGUAUGCUUAGGAAACUGGAAAAGAUCUAUAACAAGAUUAGUCGUUUGCUUUAACGUAAUUCAGUACUUCCAAGAAUAUCUUCGUUUACCUAAGUCUCGAACGGCUUAAAAUCGAGAGAAAGAUUAAGAUGAGAAAAGUUUAUCUUGUAUUAUUAUAUAUGCAAAUGUAAAAAAAUAUGUGAAAAAGAUAUAUAUAUAUAUACAUAUGUACAUAUACGAAAAAGAAAAUUGCUUACGAUCGUAAGUAAUUAUUAAAAAAAGUCAUAUAUUUGAAGAGAAAAAAGAAAUCUAAAAAAAUACCUUUCAUUUCGAAAUAAUACUUAUUGUGGCAUAUUGCUUAAGAACUAAAUAGCUAGAUAACAAAGUAGGGAAAUAGCUGCUCAUAUUUUUUACGGAGAGUAGAAGACUAUUAUCCCUUUUAUUCGAUGUAACUGUAUUUUUCGCCCAAGCUUCCGCAAAUGGGCGCGAUAAUUUUUUUACGCUCACCCUUAUGAUGUUUAUUUUUCUUUUUUUUUUUUUUAUUGCUUAUUUCAGACCUGCACGGAAGUCGAUUGAUGUGCGAGUUCCGUUUAUUAUCGCGUAAUUUUUACGAUAGCGCUAGAUCUAUUCUUCUUUUUUUUUUUUUUAUUUUGCUUAACAUUGUUUCUAUGUUCGUAGUAGAUUUUAUUUUUAUUUAUUGCUUCGCGGAACUUUCACAUUCUUUUAAGACGCUUUUAAUGCACCCUUUUGUAAAUCAAAUAUUUUGAAAGCUUUAUACUUUUACUUUUUUGUUUUUCUUCUUUUUUCCUCGGUUUACCUUAGUUUUUCUUCGUUGUUUUCUAAUUGUUGAUGGUAACUUGCACGGAUCGACAUGUCCGUCGUUUCACUCUAAUAUUUCUAUGAGAAAUGGUCCACUGUAAAAAUAGAGACUGUUCAAACGAAUGAACAUAAAGUUAUCUCGAACGAAGAGACCGCUACGCCUUCCUGUAGUUACUUAAAACAUAUAGUAAUUUACGAAGUUGAAAAGAAUAAUCCGAUAACGUGAAAACGUCGCGGCGAUCUUUGUAACAAAUACAUAAGCGUACUGCGUCGUUCUAAUUUUUAUAAAAUUUAGCGAACGAAUUGAAUAUAUAUAUAUUUUUUUUUUUUGUUUUGUAUCGAAAGACGAUAACAUAUAGUGAUUUGUUUUGUUCGAAGAGAUGAGAAUGAUCGUCUACCGAAGAGUGAAUGUAUUGUCGUUGGAUUGGAAGUGUUUCAAAAUUGAAUACCAGUUUUAUUCUCAUAAGUAUUUGUAUAA